UCCCUGGUGGUCCAGUUGUUAAGACUCUGCCCUUCCACUGCAGGGGGCAUGGGUUUAAUCCCUGAUUAGGGAA
rnacentral:tRNA from 1 species